rnacentral:rRNA from 1 species
CAGUCGCCGCGGGAAUACGGAGGGUGCAAGCGUUAUCCGGAUUUAUUGGGUUUAAAGGGUCCGUAGGCGGAUCUGUAAGUCAGUGGUGAAAUCUCACAGCUUAACUGUGAAACUGCCAUUGAUACUGCAGGUUUUGAGUAAAUUUGAAGUGGCUGGAAUAAGUAGUGUAGCGGUGAAAUGCAUAGAUAUUACUUAGAACACCAAUUGCGAAGGCAGGUCACUAAGAUUUAACUGACGCUGAUGGACGAAAGCGUGGGGAGCGAACAGGAUUAGAUACCCGAGUAGUCCCUGUCUCUUAUAC